GACUUCCCUUGUCCUCCUUAAGGCUCCUCCCCUUCGGCGCCAGUUCCGGGCGGGUCUCGUGGCCGAGUUUGCAAAGCUGUUGCGCGUGAGCGGGCUCCGAGUGGGGGGCGCGCGUGCGAGAGAGAGCGGUGCCCGUGGAGAAGUGCAAAAGUGCAGUAGCUGAUUUGGUGACCUUCAAGGAUGUGAUAGUGGACUUCAGUGAGGAGGAGUGGGAGAGCCUGGAUCCUCCUUAGAAGGAGCUGUACAAAGAGGUCACACUGGAGAAUGUCCAGAAUCUGCUAUCCCUGGGGAGUUGUUUUCUUUUCCCAUCUUGCGAAAUCUGUUAUGUCAGGAGUUGUUUUCUUCAGACAAGCUUCUAAAUGUGAAUUGUUCAAGAAUGUAUUUGGCACGAAUAUAUUUUGGGAUAAGACAAUGCAAGAGUUUUGCAUAGAUUAUCAACAAAUAUAAUAGGAAGAUUUGCUUUUUUGUCAUUUGAGGUAAGUGGGAGAGGUACAUGGAUUUCUUUUCUGAUAAAGUUUAUUUUUAAAAUAAAAGUAAAUACUUAGGUACAAUCUACAAUUGUAGCCAAGAGAAUUCUUAAUUCAAGAUAUAGAUUUAAAAGAUAGAGAAUGUCGUGAAAAUAAUUUUAAGAUUUCUUGUCAUGAAGUAUUCAACAUUGGUGAAAUUGACAAUAGGACACCAUAUAUAUCUUUUUUUUUUUUUUAUUUUGAAAUUCACAUGAAUGAAAUAAACCUGUUAAAUGCCUACCAAACCAAAAAAUUAUUCGACAACCAAAUCUGCAAAGCUUGUAUUUAUCUUUUGAGUAGUAAUGAAUUCAAAAUAACGUUUUUCAAGAUAUUUUUCUGAGUCCUUCUGUUCUGUUGCAUGUAUUAUCACUGUAAUAAUGCUUCCCCAUUAUUUUAGGUUGGAGGAUCAGGGGCAGGAUGAUCCUAUUGCUAGUAUUCCUUGUCCUGCUUUCCUCUCCUACCCAAAAUAGAAAAAAUAAAAAACACCAAUCACCAAAAAGUAUUUCUGUUGAACACAUAAAAUCAGGAAUGCAAACUGCCACACUGUCUAGACUUACAGAGCUCGGGAGAAUGUGAGUCAGGAUUUGAACUAUUCAAUUCUAAACCCAGUGCCCAAGUCCUUCAAGUAAUCUCUCCGUUCUGAAUAUCAAUUUGAGUGAAAAGAAAAUAUAACCCAUGGAGCUUUAAUUGUGGUUUUCAAGUAAUCUUGCUACCCUUAGUGGUCCAUGCCAUAAAAUGCUAAAUUUCCUUUAGCCAAAUAACUGGACUGUUAUUUUUAGCCAAAUAAAUGGACUGUCCAGUCUAUUUUAAUGUAAAUUCCAGAGAUGAGCUGAACCCAAAGUGUGAUGACAUCCCAGGGUUACAAAGUUAGUUACCAGGGCCCAUAGCAGCAAUUAGCCCAAAGCCAAUUUGCACCAUACUGGGGGCCACUCAGAUCAGGGUAACAUGUGGUUGGGAUGCAUUCACCCCAACGGUCCUUUUCCCUCCAUCCAUAUUGGGCCCAAAGCCCUUGGAUAUGGGGCCAUGAUCUCCUCUGAAACUAUUUCUUGCUGGGAGUGGACUUGGAGCUGCUUUGGAGCCCCAGGAGGGACUGCAGGGCUCAUCCCCUGGAUUCUGAGUCAGAUCCCUGCAGCUGGUCAAUACCUCUCAAGUACUGGUCAUCUGACGGUGACCACACCUGAGGGAAGAGAAACUUCUCCCCCUUUCCUGGAGGUGGAGACAGAUUGGAGAUCUUAAUCAGGUGGAAGUGCCUUAGCACAGUCCGGCCAACCUGAAGGCUAGACACCUAAAGAGCCUGCAGUCAGAACAGAGUCCUUUCUUUUAGCAGACACUUGGCUGUUCUCUGCUCCCUGGCUGCUCCUCAGGAUUAGAAGGAGGCUUAAAGGGGAGAGAGGAACCCAGCCUAGAAAUUUAUCCUUGGGAGUUUGCAGAGAUAACAAGGCUUUCUGUCUGCAUACAGCAAAUGGGGGGGCUUCCAGAUCCCCCAACUUGGGAUGGGACUUCAAUCAAAGGGCAAUGUUCGGGGGAGGAAGAAGACUGGAAUCCUCGGGGGCCCCUUUUGUGGCUGCUCCAACCAACUAAUUUCUGGUGACUCGGACAGUGCAGGGCAGAAAAGUCACAGAGAAUCAUCCCAGACACACGGGACAGACCCAUGUCACUCCCUGUUGAUGUGAAUAGGGUUGACUUUUUCCCCGGAUGACACAACAAGGCGAAGAUACAUUUUUCAAAACAACUCCAAAUUUCUCUCCGUUGCUGUGCAGGAAGCUCCGGCUCACACUCGGGGCCCUGUGGCUCACAGUCGGGGCUCCGGUCCCUAACCAUUCUUCCCGUCUGUAUCCCACCCCCUGGGAGAAGGGCCCCUCGGCAGCAGGUGACGGGGCCAAAGCUGCAGCUCCGACGGACCAGAGCCGUUCCCGGCACUUGGUCAAUUCUGCCAACUCGCCUGCAGCCCAGGACCCCUAGUGCUGUUCGGGCCCCGCCCCCUCCGCAGAAGGAGGGAUCCCCCAGAGGGGAGGCGGCUUCUCGGGGAGCUUCUGCCCCAGCCUCCGGACCCCGACAGGCAGAGGGCCUCCUGGUGACGUCACCCCGCGGGGGUCCCUGGGCUGCUGAGCCGCGGGGCAUGCCGGGAGUCCCCUGGGGUACAGGCGCUGCCUCCCGGGUCCCAGGUUUAUUUCUGUUCUUAUUUCAGUGGGGCAGGAGGGGGGGGAGGGGAGGCGGGCAGCUAUGCUCAGGCACGGCCUGUGUUUCCACCUUCCUUGGUAAGGCCCCUCUUCUUCACCAGUUGGGGGCCGCUCUUGGGGCAGACUUGGUGCGCAUGUGUAGGCCCGAGUAUGGGGGCGCGCGUACAGGAGAGGGGGGCGAAAGUGCAGUGGCUGUGAGUGGGGGCGUGUAACUGAGCUGUGAGAUUGCGCGUGAGUGGGGCUGCACCCCCGGCCUUCUCCCUCAGGGAUUUCCCCUGCUUGGGCUGAGAUGGGGGAGGGGCGCGCUUGUGCAUCCCUGUGGCUUGGGGGGGGAGGGGGGUGCGCACUGCUGAGUGUUUCUUGCAGAACCCAACUGUCCCCUCCCCCAAUGAGACCCUAGUAUUGCGGGGUCCCCUCGCCAGCCACCAGCGGCCCUUUGCACACUUUGGGGAGGGGGGAGGAUUCUGUAGUUUUACGUUGUUUGCCCCAGUUUCCUCCAGUGCAAAAAAGGGCUGAGAGUAGCCCCUCCAUGUUCCCCCCCCUCCCCUCCCCCCAGAUCCCUUGUGUAAAGCACUGAGUAUGGGGCCGGGAUGCAGGAAGCGCUCCCCAUGUGCAGCUCUCAGGGGGAACUUGCCCCAGUCCUUCUAUUUGUCUGGAGAACAGCGGGGGUGGCGGAGGCUCCCUGACAGGAGGGGGAGGGGGGCUGGGGCUCCCAUCCAGCUCUGCUCCUUGCCCUGUUUCCCUCCUGGUGGUCUUGGAACGUGGGUCAGAGUUUCUGGGGCUUUUGGCAGGUGGGCGUUCCAAGUUACAGAUGGAGAAACUGAGGCAGGCAGGGUCAGCGUCACAUUGCCUUCCAGGGAUUCCGAUGAAGGCCUUGUGAUCUUGACCAUGUGGGCUCAUGCUCUCAGGGCCCUUCCCUACACUGUGCAGGAGAUCCAAGUGUCCCGUGCUGGGGGUCCUGGGAGGGUCUCCCCGCCCCCACAGGUGACAUCUCUCUGCUUCCUCCUCUGAGCUGAGAUCUCUCUUCCUUUUCUGUGCUCUCUCAGCCUCCUUCUCUCUAAGAUCUCUCGGCCUCCUCCUGGGGAGCAGCCUCUCCCCACCGUCCCUGCCCUCAGAGCUCUCUCUCUCUCUCUCUCUCUCAUUGU